UACAGAGGUCUCAAGCGUUGUUCGGAUUCAUUGGGCGUAAAGGGUGUGUAGGUGGCGCGUAAGUCGGGUGUGAAAUUUCGGAGCUUAACUCCGAAACUGCAUUCGAUACUGCGGUGCUUGAGGACUGGAGAGGAGACUGGAAUUCAUGGUGUAGCAGUGAAAUGCGUAGAGAUCAUGAGGAAGACCAGUGGCGAAGGCGGGUCUCUGGACAGUUCCUGACACUGAGACGAAGGCCAGGGGAGCAAACGGGGAUU
rnacentral:rRNA from 1 species